rnacentral:lncRNA from 1 species
CCCUUUCUAUUGCAUCCAAUCUCCCGCCGUAUAAUAGCUAAUAUUUCAAAUUAAGCUGGCGUGCCCAAUAAUCAUCUACUAAAAUUCCCAAAUCACUUUAAACUUUUCCUCAAGGUAUGCAGUUAUCCUGCUACUAAACCCAUAUGCUACAUUGCCACUCUCCCACUUUGGUUAAACUCACUCAUUUAGUUAACUACUCGACUCAUGUUUCCACAUUUGGCCUUCUAGGAGUGUAAACACUGCUAGACACUUCUCGCAUGCCAUUCCUCA